rnacentral:RNase_P_RNA from 1 species
AGAGUCGCCCGGAUCACCGCGUUGCGAAAGCACCGAGGAAAGUCCGGACUUCACAGAGCAAGGUGGUGGGUAACGCCCACCCGGAGCAAUCCGCGGGAUUAGUGCCACAGAAAAUAGACCGCACAUGCAAAUGUGUAAGGGUGAAACGGUGGUGUAAGAGACCACCAGUAUUUGUAGUAAUGCAGAUAGCUUGGUAAACCCCACUUGAAGCAAGACCAGAUAGAUAGCGUUUGAGAACUGCUCGUUCGAGCUAUCGGGUAGGUUGCUUGAUUACGUAAGCAAUUACGUAACUAGAUGGAUGGUGAUCCGUUCGCAAGAACGACAGGAUCCGGCUUAUAGGGCGACUCUUCUU